GGCAUGGGAUAGAUUCAGCUGGUGGAGCAUGAGACUCUGACUCUCAGGUUUGUGGGUUCGAACCCCAUGUUGGCCA